rnacentral:lncRNA from 1 species
GUCCGUGUUGGUCCACUUUCUACUGGUUAUAAGACAGAAGUAAGUACCGACUCAAUCUUUGUUUACAAAGUUACAACAGUCUGUAACAGACUGAAUCUGUAUGACAUGUGAAUAAGUUAUCGAUAUCGAUGCUGGGUUUAAUACAACGGUUUGAGAGAGUGCCGCCCAUUUAUUGGGGUAUCAGGUCUGUUCGCGCCCAAUAUACUUUCGCACCCUAAACGUUCGCACCUCGCACGUUCGCACCCAAGGUCCGUUCGCACUCUACACGUUCGCGCCCAAUUUUAAUUCAAAUUCGAGUUGAAUAAUUGGAAAAUCAUGAUUGUUGUUUUUAAUUGCUUUCGUGUAUGUAUUUAUAGCUUGGUAUGAGUAAAAGAUUGAACAUUCAAAAUUAAAUAAUUAAAAAAAAUAUCAUCUUAUUUUUCAGAUCAUCUAUUGAAAGUGCCAUUAACAAAAAUUAAAGAAUUUCAUUCCCACUUAGAGGGACUACAUAGGAUUCCUCAGCAUCAACUCUCUGAUCAGGUAUGUACACCAAAGUCACUGACAGCAAUCAUACACACUCGUUGCUUUUCUUGCAGCAGCGUCGUCAUCCUUAGCAGUGUCAAUAAUUGUUGAGUUUGUUGCUUAAGGUAGUUAAAUUAGAACAUCUGGUGAUAGAUCAAUGAAAUUUUCUAUAAAGUUGCAUUACUGUCAGUACUUCUAAAUAAGAAGAUGUGGUAUGAGUGCCAAUAAAACAUCUCUCCAUCAAAGUUACAAUUUAUGAAAACCUUCACACUACCUAAGACAGUUGUGUAAUAUUACAACAUUAAAAGACACUCUAUGAACUAUCAAUUGAAAUUGCUUAAAUCAAUCAGAACUUAAAGUGCAAAGUCUUGGUGAAAAGUUGUGAUUAAAUUAUCAGAGACUAUCAAAGAUCUCUAACAUUAACAACAGAAAUUCUAUAGAAAAUAAGGAGUUGUCAAUCAAAAUUAUAUUUUUAUUUUAAUUUUUCAAUGAAUUUGAUUUAAUUUUAUGAUGAGCAAUACAGCUAAUUAGGAAUAAUUGAACUGUUCUGUCAUUGUAAACAAAUUUUGCCAUUAUACAAUGACAAAUUAUUCAUAGUCAAUAGCAGCAGUUGUAUUUUUCUUUCAGCUGACUUUAAGUUAUUUUAACAGUAAUGUGAUAGAUGUAAAAGGGUACAGCCAUGAAAACGAUCCAACAAGGUAAACAUAAAAUCAGUUUCUACAAUAUUUACAAAAUAUGGUUACUGUGCCUCGAUGUAGUAUCAAGUUUUAUAUUUGUAUAUGAGUUAUAUAAUUAUCUCCCUUUGAAACUUUUUCUGAACUUUUCAAUAUAAUGAGAUAUAUUGAUACUUUGAAUUCAGAAAUGAGGUUUUGAAUAAUGCAAUUGGGGGAGUAUCACAAUAGUAAUAACUAACAUUUUAAUAUCUGCUACAUAUAUCUGUAUGCAGCGUUUCCUGAAAUUGCAAUAAUCAAUGUUGCAUUUUUGUCCGUUCAUUUAAAAUUGCAAUAAUUAGGUCUUUCCACCUUUACGUGUGGAAAGACCUAUUGAUUUUGUUCUGAUUAUUUAUUUUUUUUUUUUUUUCUUCCGCCUAAUUUUUUCUUGCGGUGUAAAAAUGUUUCAAAAGAUAUCGCUUAGUUUUUAUACGCCCGUCAAAAUUUUGACGGGACGUAUUAUGAUAUACAAAUGUCCAGUGUCCGUCCGUCUGUCCGGCGUCAACACGUCGCACCGUAACUUGAGAACGACUUAUCCAAAUUUCAUGAAACUUAAUAUUAAUGUUUCUUAUGAUGGUCAAAUGAUCUGUAUACUUUUUGGUGAAAAUAAGAUUUAAACUUUUUGAGUUACGGCACUUUAUAACUAAAACAGGGGUGUGUUUUUUUCACAUGUCGCACUGUAUCUCAAAAACGAUUCUUGAUUAUGACUUAAAACUUUAAACACUUCUUAGUAUUUUAAUCUCAAUAUCUGUAUACUUUUUGGUGAUGAUUCAAAAUUUCAUUUUUGAGUUAUUGAGUAUUUUGUAAAAAAGGGGGAGGGUUUUUUUACAUGUCGCGCCAUAUCUCAAAAACUAUUUAUGAUUAUUGCUUAAAACUUUACACAUGUCUUUGUUAUAUUAAUCUCAAUAUCUGUAUACUUUUUGGUGAUGAUUCAAAAUUUCAUUUUUGAGUUAUUGAGUAUUUUGUAAAACGGCUUUUUACAUGUCGCGCCGUAUCUCAAAAAUAAGUUAUGAUUAUUGCUUAAAACUUUACUCACUUCUUUGAUAUAUUAAUCUAAAGAUCUGUAUACUUUUUGGUUUUGAUUCAAAAUUUUAUUUUGGUAAUAUUUAGUUUUUGUAAAAAAAAAAACAGGGUGGGGGGGUUUCACAUGUCCCGCCGUGUCUCUAAAACAAUAUAUGGUUAUUGCUUAAAACUUUCUCAUAAACUAUUUAUGAUUAUUGCAUAAGACUUCCACAUAAGACAUCGGGCGUAUCAUGCGCUCAUGGCGCAGCUGUUUAUUUUUGUAUAUGAGAUCAUACAGUCUAUACGCUUUUGAAACUCACCCUGUUUAACCAAACACUUUUCUUUGUAAGAGUUAUCUCCCCAAACACUGUUUUUCUUGUUAUCAGAUCUCCUCCGCAACUGUAAAAGAAAGCGACAAAUUUAUUUUUCAAAAUUGCUCGUUAUAUCCUCAGGAUGUUACGUUUUAUUUUGACCGAAGCUUUACGAAUACCCCAUAUGAGAGUAAUUUCCCCUUUUGUAUUGAAAUAAGUGAAAUAAAUUUGUAACUGGAAAACCAUAAGUGAUAGAGGCCUAGGGUCUUUUGAUUUGAGGCCCUUGGUCAAAAAGUAUGAAAAUGAGGUCAAGGUCAAAGGUCAAGUUCAUGAUCAAAUUUUUGAUUUUGGCUUGUUAUCUCUUAUUUCGUAACAUGUAAAUUUUACUUACGUAACAUUUAAUGCGAGUUUUGCCCCCUUUUAUAUCUAAUAUUAGUUGUAUGGUAAUAUAACUCAUUAACUCAUUAACAAUAUAAAGUAGAGGCCUAGAGUCUUUUGAUUUAAGGUCCUUGGUUGAUGACCUUGAAAUUGAGCUCAAGGUCAUAGGUAAAUUUAACGUUCUAGAUUUUGACCUUUGCUUUUUUCCUCUUAUAUAUACAUAUAAAGCCAUGGGACUUUUGGCAAAAGGUUGCAAGCAAUGUGACCUUGAAAAAUCCAACCGGAAGUGACCUUUUUGUAAACCGGAAGUAGCCGUUUUUUUGUACUAAUUUAAUGUAAAAGUAUAUAGAACCAUCUAUUUUUGGAAUCAGUGUCAAGUAAACUAUCAAAACAUACCGAAAGUAACAUCUUUUAAACCGGAAGUAAAAAAUGAUCUCCUUAUUUAUAUCUUUUUGUAUAGAAACCAUACAUUUUUGGAAUCAGUGUUCAAUAAGCUGUCAUUUGACGCUAAAAUUGACAUUUAAAACCGAAUUUUAAUAUUUUCAUAUAAAAAAGAUCUUUACUAGUGGAAAGACCAUCAAUGGUUCUCUGAACAAUUGGUUUUUAAUAUUGUUCUUACAUCUCUUCUGAAAAAAAAAUCCACAUGUUUGUUAUCAGUUAUACUCUGAAACUACAAGUCAGUUAAACUCUGCAACAUUCAGCAGCAUUUACAAAAGUACAUAAAAGUUUAUAAAACAUAUAAAAGUUUAUCAAGAUAUCUCUCAAGACUUUUAGAGAAAAGUUCUUAAAUUGCAAUACUCUGAAACUACAAGUCUAAACCCCAAAAUUGCAUUCAGCAGGGCAUACAUGCUAAUUUAUAAAACAACGUGGUGCAGAUAUCUCUCAAGACUUUUCCUAGAGAAAAGAAAUUGCAAUGCCGUAAAAAUCGCUUGCUAGGUCCGUAAAUCUCAGUGAAAUCCUACAAUAAAAUGUCCGCUCCUAGAUUGAAAUACUAAUCUGUGUUACAAACAGGUGCUGAAAAAUGUACAUUAUCAGAAAAUAAUCCUUAAAUGUGUAUUAAAGUUACACCGGAUCAAUUAAAUCCAAAACAUGCACUGCUGGUGAACUGUGAUCAAAAUGUCAAUUUCCUACAAUGACAAAAGAAAUGACAUUGUGUACAUUCCGUAUCUAUACAUGUUGUCUAUUCAACGUCCCCACCUAAAAAGGAAUAAAUAUACUAAGUUUUCGUUAUUAUAAACCCACGUCACGUGAUGUCUCCUCAAUCUGGUGCGAGAAGUCGCGCGCUGGACCUGAAAUAAAAUAAAAACUUUCCGAACUAAACAUGAAACUUCCCCAGAAUAAUAUAGACCCCUUACAGAAACAAACAAACAAACAAACACACACACACAUAACAAACAAUCAUGUUUCAAAGGGGGAAAGACCGUUUACAAUUGCUUUUUAAAAGCAAUUGAUUUAUAUUUAAUGUUUAGUUUUGUCCUUUCGUUUAAAUUUACAAUAAAAACUGAACGCAAUAAUUUUUUGAUCUUACAGUUAUCAUGAAAAUGACAUCAACAGUAUUAGAAAUAAUUAAAAUUUAAUAAAAAUGGAAGAAAACAACAUUAUCAGUUGAAAAAGCAUAAUAAUAUAUAUAGGUAAUGGUAAAUUCAAAAACAAAAAAAGCACAAAAGGGUCUGUGCAUCUCAUUUACUUGUUAAAAACAGAAAUGAUGAAAAACACCAAUAAUAGUUUCAGCAAUAUUUUGAAAUUUUCUAGUAUAUCUUGAGAUUGUGUUCUUAUUCUCAUUUCUUUUCAGAUUUAAAACAGUUCACUGUCAUCUGUAUCCCUACCUUUCUCAGUGUGUAGACAUGCCAAGAUGGUGACCAGUAUUAUAUAGUGUUCACCUAUACCUACUUGCUUCAGAUAUAACUAUAGUGCUGUUGCUGAAAUGCUGCUGCAAGACUUUAUAUUUAUACUAUAGAUUCAAGUCUUUUUGUAAAUGUAUCAUGCACAAGCAGAACAAUUUCAACGAGAUCAACAAAAGAUGAAAACUUUUUGAUACAUUUGUAAAUGAUAAAUUUUAUAAUCUGUGAUAUUGGCAUGAAAUGGUUGUAGUAGAUUAUAUUUUUAUAACUUGAAUUAAUGAAAAUUAUUGAUUUUGUAACUAUGUUUCAAAAGUGUUGCAAGUAUCUUUUUUUGUUAUGUUAUUUUUUGUUUUGGAAAAAAAGUCCCACUGAAUUUAUGUUAUUCAAGGGAGAUAAUUAUGUAAAUCCAAGUUAAAUUAAACCCAAAUAAUUUUUUAGACAACUGUAUUUUAUAGUUGUAAAACUGAGCUCUUAAGGUUUUAUGUUUUGCAAAAUUGCUGAUACAACAAAUGAUAAAAAAAGAAUUUCAGAAUAGAUGUUUGGUGCUUACAUGUGAAGUGCAAUUGAUUGAUAAGUUGGUUGUGUUCUGAUCUCAUUUAAAUUUUUAAAUUUUAUGUAAAAUUUCAUAUCACAUUCAUCAAAAUAAAGUUGUGACUAAAGUUUUAUAAUGAGAAAAUACAAUAUUUUUAUUGUGAAUUUGUCCUUUAUUUUAUUUUUCAUUAUAAUUUCCAUGACAGUUAACACUUUAUUAACUAAUAGCUGAUUUAUGAUUUCCUCUACCAGUUGAUUAUUUUUUUGUAAUCAGCACAUGGUUUGUUUUAUUUCAGUCCUCCAUUGUUCAAAAUUAAAUUUUAAAGUAAAAUUUUCUUGCUUUCCCCUGAUUUUGCUAUUGGAAUAUCAUGAAAAAAGGAUGACCUGUCUGAAAUAACUCUUUAUGCAGAUUAUUGAAAGCAAGAUAAAGUUUGUUUAAAAGUCAAUCUAGAAACAGAUUUUCUACUGAAUCAAUAUAUCUCUGAUCUCAUCAGUUUAACUGUUCAGAGUGGAAAAGUACUUUAUAGCUAUACUGUGUAUUUUUCCUUGGUCUUUCAAGCUUUAGUACUUUUCUCGGCCACAUCUCACUGUAGGGCUGUUGCCUUAGUUGAGAUUGUAGCUGAGAAUCUCUGUAUGGUUUGAAAACCCAUCAAUAAUAUAUAAGUAUCAAACUCAUUGCAGUGGUAGAAUCUAUAUUUUAACUUUCACAUGAGAUUAUCAUAUAUGAUGUGAUAACAUCAGAGAAAUAGACUAUGAAGGAAAGAUAACUCUUCUUAAAUGGCUUACUGGUGUGUGACUUUAUUGUCGUACUUGUUAAAUACUUGUUUACAAAUGUAGUAUUCGUUUGAUGUAUUUCUAAUAGACUGAACUUAUUUUUCUUAGAAAUUAA